rnacentral:rRNA from 1 species
AUGGAGAUGGACCACCUCGCCGGGAGGCUCGCCGCGGCCUCCGUCUCCUCCACCGACGACCCCACACCCUCCCCCGCCACGGGAGGGGAUGGCAGCCUCCUCGAUGUCAUCUGCGCUGUCGAGCGCGCCGAGGGCACCAUCCGCAACCAGAACUACGAGAGGCUUAAGCAGGAGCAUGAUAAGAAGGUGGGGUUGCUGAGGAAGCAGGAGGUGAGGGGCAUGGACUACCUCAAGAUGGAGAAGAACAAGAUGGAGAUGGAGAGCCUCGAGUCCAAGAUGCUUGUGGCCACCCAGUCCAUCGACACCACCACCUCCGAGAUCAUCAGGCUCAGAGAAUCAGAGCUAUUCCCUCAGGUACUUGAGCUGGUUGCUGGAGGUGAUCGAUGCUGA